rnacentral:misc_RNA from 1 species
GAAAAAAUGGGUUAAAAGCUUUGGAAAGCUACUGAAGCGCAAGGGGAAACCUCUCUUUGUACCUCUUCGCGUGUUACUAACCGGAAAGCUGCACGGCCCUGACAUGGGAUCCAGUAUACUAUUGAUAUAUAAAGCUGGAGAUUGCGGUGUGAUCAGUCCGCAGGUCGGUUUUUUAACAUUAGAAGAGCGGUUCAAAAUUCUAAGAGAGCUAGACUGGGACUCGUUGAACAAGGAACCAGAGGCACAAGUCGAAUCUGCUACUGUUGUGUCUGUUUAGAUCAUCAAAUUUAAAGCCCCAGACGGGUGUUGUCUCAGUUGGCUGAUUUUUCUUUUUAUUGAUAUUUUUGUUUGAUCUGAGGAGAUUUCACAGUUUUGUGGUGUUUUUG